AUGGGGAAGGAGAAGACGGCGGCUCUGGAGCGGGCAAAGAAGGCGAUGGCGAGGUCGAAGGGGAAGGCGACCAGCCGGGGCGGAUCUUCCUCGCGGACCGGCCUGCCGAAGGGCUGGAUCCAGGGCGACUGGAUCCACUCGAGGAUCGCCCAAGAAGACCUCGACGAUCUGGCCGAAGGGGGGCUGAUCCCCUAUGACUCGGCGCGGCUUCCGGGGAAGGAAUCUGAGCCGCAACCUCGGGAGGGUGAGCGUGUUCUUCUUGCCACCCACGUCGACCGUGGAUUUUCCUUGCCUCCUCACCCUUUCUUUCGAGGGUUUCUGAACUUCCUUGGGGCACAACUCCACCAUUUUACCCCAACUCAAUCGUUUAUCUCGCCGCUUUUAUUUCUUUUGUGUGAAAAUUUCCUGGGUUGCCGGCCUCACUGGGGUCUUUUCAAGCAUAUUUUCACUUGUCGCUCCCAGACAGUGAAAAAGGCUAAUCCGAGUGACGAGAGGACCCAAGUGAUCCAGAUGUGUGGGGGUCUUGGCAUUCAAACGAGAGGGAAAAGCUCCUUUCCGGCCAUGAUUCUUCCUGACUCAGUCCGCGGAUGGCAGUCGACCUGGUUUUACUGUAAAGACCAGUCGACGCCAGGGCAAUCGACUGGCCUCCCUCCCUUUACCAUGGACCGAGUGAGGAAACCCUCCCCUUUGAAGGUGCUCCCGGAGGAGAAGGCGCACGUGAAGGUGUUGGUCAAUCGAGUGGUCCAGCUUAUUCAUGACGGGGUCACUGGUAUGGAUCUUUUAGAAGUCUUCCUUCAGCGGCGCAUCCAGCAUCUUCAAGCUCGAGACCAUCCGAUGUGCAUGUAUUCGGGUCUUGAAGACUCCAGUCAGAUCCACCCGGAGGAGGUCGACGAUGACACACUGGAGAAGUGGCUGUCGGGCAUUACCGGGAACAAGGACAAUCCCAGGGGAGCCAGGAGAGUUCCCCCAUUCGACCAGUCUCAUGCACCAGAGCAGGUCUGA
rnacentral:rRNA from 1 species